CCUUGGCUUAAAACCUCAGCUCUAGGACCUGGUUUAAGGAUGGGGAGAUGGAGCUCGGCCCCAGCUCCUCCCCUCCCCUCACCUACCCGCGGGAGCUGGGCCAGGGCUCCUAGGUGGGGACUGGGCCAGUGGGGCCGGCACAAGCAGAGGUGGUGUCACUGAAAGGGCUUCCGGUGGGGUCUUGCUGAGAAGGUAAAGGAUUCCGCGCGCUGCAGCAGGUGGUGGUGGAGGAGCCAAGCGGCCAUAGAGCAAGGGGUAGCAACUUCCAGACCAUAGAGGCGGGCAGCAGCCACGGCCCCAGGUCCAGUUAGCUUCUCACCCACCUCAUCUCAUAGAACCGGGGUGGCCUCGCCAGGCGUGGGGGCACUGCCAGCUAUGUUGGCUCCAGGAAGCCAGCGCAGAGCUCUGAUGGGCUAGGGACCAGAAACCCAGGUGACCCAGAAACCUGGGUGGCCUGGGCCUCUCAAACAGCAGGUGAAGGUCCUGGGGCCCAGUGGCGGCGGCGGUGGCGGUGGCUGCAGCAUCCUCCUCCUUCCACUCUUCCUUUACCCACACGGAUUCCUUUGAUUAUUAUUUUUUCUUUACUAUUUUAUAGGUUUCACAUGGAUGUGUUUGCUCCAUACUUAACAAUAACUCUAGAAGAGAGGAUUAUUCUUAUUUCUAUUUUCGAGACAGGAAAACUGAGCUAUCUCUGGGAGAGUUGUUCCCUCAGCAGAAAGCUGGUGGUGGCUGAUGCCAGUGGAAGGGACCCGAGGAACCAUGUAUGCAUCUGUUGAGGGAAAAGCCAUCGCCCCUUUGCCUUGGUUGCUUCCAGGUGUCCAAAUUAUGCCAGUUCCAACGGUGCUCUUGGUGACACAAGACAGAAACUCAUCUCUUGCUGUGUAUUAAUAUGCUGGGGACAAUGGACACAUGUCCCACUCUCUCUUGCUCCAAAGCAAAAAUUGCCAUCCAAGAUGGUCUCUUGUUAUUUGAAUGUGUCCUCCGAAAAGUAUCCUUUGGAAACUUAAUAUUCAAUGCAACGGUGUUUGGAGGUGGUGCCUAAUAUGAAAUUAUUAGACCACGAGGGCAAGGUAAAUGAAUUGAUGCCAUUAUUACUAGAGUAAGUUCAUUAUAAAACAGGGAGCUCAGCCCCCUUUUAAUUCUCUCUCUCUCUCUCUCUCUGUUACUUUCUUGCUCCUUCUACCAUGGAUGACGCAACAGAAAGCCUAACCAGAUACCAACCCCUUCUGUCUUUAACUUCCCAGCCUCCACUGUGAGAAAUAAAUUUCUGUUCACUAUAAAUUUCUCA
rnacentral:lncRNA from 13 species